GACGCCCCGUGUGCAGCGCGUGCCCCUGGAUGAUCGGCCUUGCCUCUUGCAAACCUUAUAAUGCCCAGUGAGCUUCUGCGACUCGAGGGUCCUGGAGGCCUGGGAAAGUCCCAGCUCCGUGCUCAGACGGCCCACUGUGGCUUCCAAGCUGAGGCUCCCAUCCUGGGCGCAGGGGUGGCCUCCUGAGAGUUCGGGGCGGGGCCUCCGAGGGGAGAAAUCUAAUGGCGGUGGCUUCGGAGUCUCUUUUUCCAGCUCGGCUCUCUGCCUCCCGGUGGAAAACGCUACCAGGUGAAGAGACGCGGCCGGGCUGGGCCUUCUGGCAUGCAGAUUCCAACCGACGGGCACCCCGCUCACGUCUCGCAGCCCCAAGAGGUCCCACGCGUGAUGAAAUCUAUUGACUCACCGUUUCUUUCUGCAGUCGUGGGUCUUUCUCUGAAAACGUGGCAGGUAGCUCUUGGAAACCUUGUGUGGCCCUGGCUGGGGGGAAAGUCCUCCCUGCCCGGAGACGCCCGUUGGAAAAGUCCGAAAGACCUGCGUGGCCGAUGGCAUCCGGGCAGCCCAGCCCCGGAGGCUGCCCAUUGGGAUGUUUCUGGAAAUGAGCGCUCCCUUUCCAGCUCAUGCCAAGCAGAGAGAGGCUGGGUGGGGUGUGUGCUGCAGCCAGCCAGGGGGACCCCCUCUCUCUAAGGGCCAGUGAGGGGAGAGAACCGUCCUGCAGGAGCACUGCCCGCAGCCCUCCCCCUCCCCCAGCACGCUCUGAGCCCCAUCAGUGUCUGCGUGCUCCCUUCCAGAGCAGGAACCUGGCUCCUGUGUUCUGCCCCUUCCAGCAGCUGGCCCUCAUUCACACAUCCCCGCCUUCUUUUUCCAGCCAGGAUGGGAAGUUCCCUGAGGGCACCAGUGGUUCUAGAACUUUCUUUCAUACCUUGCACAGGCUGAAAUGGCGUAGACACCAGGCUGGCCAAGUUAAGUUAGUUGUGCCCAGUAUGGACUCGGGGGCCUCAACACAGAGGCUGUACCCUCACCUGGGCACUGCCCCACGGAGCUCAGGUCUCAGACACACGCGGGUUCCAUUGUGUGAUGACCUGAGUUAGCUCUGGUCACUGUAGCACUCAUGGCGAGUAAAUGGAUGGGGGCAGGUUUCUGAGAUGGGCCGCACAGGAGGCGGUAGGCGUACCGGCGGCUGCUCUAACAGCUCCCACCAGCGCAGGGGCUGAAAACAGCCCACACGGACACGAAUAGUUCUGAAGGUCAGAACCAGGAAAUUGGUCCCACAUGCCUAUAAUCAAGCGGUUGGCAGGGCUGUGUUCCUUCUGGAGGUUCUCGGGGAGUAUCUUUCCUUGCCUUUUUGAGCUUCUCGAAGCUGCCUGCCUUCCUUGGCUGGUGCCCGCAUCACUCCAACCUCUGCUUCAGUCUCCAUCCCUGACUCUGAUCCUCCUGCCUCCCCUCUCCACUUACAAAGACCAUUGUGAUGACGCUGGGACCACCAGGGUCACCCAGGAUAAUUCCUCUCCUCAGUAUCCUUCACUUAGUCACAUCUGCAAAACCCCUCCAUCUGGCCGAGUAAAGUAAAGUUUUAGGGACAGAACGUGGAAACCUUCGGGGGGCAUUAUUUUGCCUACCAAAAAGGUGCCACAAUAUGAAGGCAUAGCCAAGGGCAGGCGGGAGCAUUACCAGAGGUAGCAACGUGGCCAAAGGAGGUGGUGAAGUGUGGGCUUUUGGGGAGAGCCCUGCUGACUUUGGUUUCUGGGUGUUUUCUGUUCCACUGCCUUGUUAAUUUCCUUUGUUUUUCAUUCAGAAGUUUGAAUUCUCUGCCACAUACACAUACUGACACGCAUGCUAUUUCUUUUUUCCUUUUUUUUUUCUUUUUAAUUUGGCAUUUAUUGAAGCUGAUGGAGUGAACUGGAUAAGAGUACCCCAGAGUAACUGAUGUGCCACUUAAAAUAUUGAACAUCCAUUUAGAAAAAAAAGUGUACUGAACAUUUGGUCCCAUCACACCACGUGGAGCUCAGCUCCCGCACUCUGGGGUCUCAGCCAGAGAGCAAAUUCCCCCAACUCCAACCUCGGAGACCUAGGCCUGUUUCUCCGCUGGAGAAAUGGCUCGUCCCAGAGAACAAGGUCAUUAAGCAAAGUUAGUGACAACACAAGCAAAGGGAAAGUGACAGCAGCGAGUGGGUCCCAGGGAGAGGGUCCCCCGGAGGCUUCUUAGCAAGCGGAUGCGCACCGCGAGGCUGUGAGGCUACACGGGGCUGGGUGCCUCCAAUUACGGAAAGUUCUACAACUGCGGUUUCCUAUUUUUCCCAUAAAUUCCUACGAUAUCUUAAAUAUGACGUGUAAUGCUGCACUGGCAGAGAAGGACACUCGAGUCUUUCGUUUUUUAAUUCAAGAUAAAGCAUUUCACAAGAAACAGAAGACUGCUUCCCUGCCAUCACUGCAAUGCAUGUGUUCCCAAGACUGUGCUUAAAGUCUGUAUUUUUUGCUAUUUUGUGAUAUCAUUGUGAAGAAUAAAACCCGUACCUGU